rnacentral:misc_RNA from 1 species
AUCUCCAUUAAACAUGGCAGCCCUCAUCAACCGGUCUCUGCAAACACUGAGAUCCCAAAGUAAUGGUAGCCAUCACAAAAUCAUUCGUGGUUUUGUCUCAUCAAGUCAAAGAAAUGACAAAAUUGGACCACAAGCUAAGUUCUUUCCAGUCAUGUCAUCUCCCAUGCUUCCUAAAGAGUCAUUCAAAGGAAAGACAGCCUUCAUCACAGGAGGGGGAACAGGGCUUGGAAAAGGGAUGACCACCAUGUUGUCACAAUUAGGGGCCCAAGUGGUCAUUACAAGCAGAAAACUGCCAGUCUUGGAAAAAACAGCUGAGGAGAUAAGUGGUAUGACAGGGAACAAGGUGCUAGCAGUGGCAGCAGAUGUACGGGAUCCAGAGAGUGUGAAGGCUGCUGCAGAUCGCUGUGAACAGGAGUUUGGUUUACCUGACAUUGUAAUCAACAAUGCCGCAGGAAACUUUAUAUCCCCCACUGAGCGACUGUCCCCCAAUGCCUGGAGAACAGUGGUGGACAUUGUCCUGAACGGAACAGCCAUUGUGACCUUGGAGCUCGGGAAAAGGCUCAUCAAAGCAAACCAAGGAGCUUCCUUCUUGUCCAUAACAACCAUUUACACAGCAAGUGGAUCAGGAUUUGUAACACCUAGUGCUGCAGCAAAAACAGGGGUGGAAGGCCUUACAAAGUCUUUAGCAGCUGAAUGGGGUAGAUACGGAAUGCGAUUUAACUGUAUAGCACCAGGACCAAUCGAAACUAAGGGUGCAUUUAGUCGUCUUGACCCCACAGGACAAUUCAAGGACAAAUUGAUCGAUAUACUACCAGUGGGCCGUUUGGGCGAUCCGUCAGAAAUUGCGAACCUGGCUUGCUACAUGGUCAGUGACUAUGCAAGCUGGAUGAGUGGAAGUGUAAGUAUAAAUAAUCUAUGAUGAAUUGAAGAUUUGCAGAACAACAAUAGUAGUAUUGCUUUUUCUGCUGCUGGAUGGAUGAAAGAGCUGAAUUGAACAAUGGUUAUAGGUUCUAUUCUCAUUGUCAGAAAGGGACAUAAUUUUAGACUGUUUAAGUUAUAUGUGAUGGGAAAUGGAGGGAAAAAUGACGAAAUAUAUUGGUAUGUGUACUGAUAUAUAUAAAUGUGUAUAUUAAUGUUAAAUUUUGUUUUUUCCAAUCAUGUUUCAGGUUAUACGUUUUGAUGGUGGAGAAUAUGUGAUGAGAGCUGGAGAGUUCAAUGAUUUAAGAGUGAUCACAAAUGAACAAUGGGACCAGUUAGAAGCAAUGAUUAGGAAAACCAAAGGCUCUUAAUAGAUAAAAUGAUAGCAUGUAUAAUUUACAUCCAUACAUGUAUUUGAUUAAAUCAAAGAGUACGGGUAUGUUAAGAUGUAUUCCUAAAAUGUAUUAGUGUUGAUUAUGGCAUAGCACAUGUACCAGGAGGAAUUGUUUAAAUUAAACUCUUAAGAUUAAUUUAUAUUAUUAAUUAUUUCCCUUUUUUGUGCAUAAAUUCCGUAACAUGUUUUCAAAUAUUGCAAGAUGUGAAUAAUUAAGAUUAUAUCAUAGCCAUAAUGUUCUCCUUUAUUUAAUGUAUAUUUUUUGUACGGAGAAUUUGAUUCUCUUCUCAUAAUACACACAUAAAAUUAUAUUUGUUAUUAUCUGAUCUUUGAAAAUAAACUUGUUUGAAACUUUC